rnacentral:misc_RNA from 1 species
UUAAGAAACUGCCCAGUUUGACGUUCAUAUAUCUGUAUCAUUUUGGGAGGAAAAUCCAGCACUACCUCCAAUAGAAAAAAAGGGGUUAGAGUUGGAAUUUUUUGUAUAAUUUUCUUUGAAAUAGUUUACUUAAAUGCAUUAAUUACUAGAGUCCCCAGAAAAUCAUUCCAAAUCUUUGUAUUUUUCAUUUGGAAUUACUAGAGGGAUUUUAUGAAGUCACUUUCCAUUUCACUAACAGCAAACACAUGCAAAAUACCUUCUUAUGUCCUUUUCAAUUUAUUCAGUAACAACUGUGCUCAUUUUAUUUGUAGGUGUAUUUCACAGUUUAUGAGCAACUCAAAGGCAUCCUUCUUUCACAUGGUUGGUACUUUGCAGUGUUGCAUUUUUCAGAAUUAUGCUUUGGUCUUCUUUUGAGUUCCUAUACAAACCUGGUUCUAUUAAGUUUCUUUCUAAGAUACAAAGGAUACUGUAUUAUUGGAUUGCUUCAAUAGACUUUGUUUUCUGAAUUGUAUUUUUUAUUUUUUAUUUUUUAU